UAAGUGCCAGCUGCCAUCGGUGAAGGAUCUCUGUAGGAGAUCCCUCCUUUGUGGAGUUUUCCCUGCAAGCCUUGAUCUUCAGGGAUGGGCAUCUUCUUGAAUCUUUCAUUUUCCUGAACAAGUGCAGUGAUGGCAGAUUUCAUUGGACGCAGAGAAAAGAGGAGCAAGGUAGACAAUCUUUGUCUGUACCCAGUGUGCAGGUGCCCAGGCUGUCUUGUUCUGGAGAUGGAAGACACAACUAUGCAUCCAAGGGAUUUCAGCUGAAGAGGAAGGCAGCAAACUUGCUUGACUGUCUGUUCACGUGGUCUCCAUACUGAAUUUCAUGUGAACUGGCAGAUUAACGAGAGCAAUCUCACAACUUCUGACCAGAUAUUUUAACUUAGGGAUACACAUCAUCCAUUUUCCUCUUGAAGGACUGAGUUCAGCCUCUUUCCAUUUUCUUUGGAAAUAGAAGAGUUUGAGCCCUGGACGAAAUAUUUGUUAGACAUCCUGGCCUUUGUGCAUUGAGAUAUAUCAACCUAUGAUGAGGAUACAAAAUACCAGGUUCCCAAUAAGAAGUUACAUUUUCAGAGUUCAGAUUGAGAAGGACAGAUUUAAGCAUCUGAAUGCAGAGCAGAAUUACAAUUUGAAUUAAAUCUCUCACAUUUUUAUAAUUUUGUCUAAAUUUAAUAUAGAGUUAGAACAUCAGUUUUAUUUAAAGACUUUAGAAAUAAAUCUGAUGUUGGUUUAACUUGUAACAUCUGGAAACAGAUCAUGACAAAGGUCAUUACUCCAGUUUUGUAUCUCAAAUAUGGAACAUCUUUUUCACUGCUGCUCUUCUCACUCCUCUACCACCCUGGAAACUUGGAGUACUGCUCUUUACAACAAUUGCUGCUAGCAAUAUGCACAACGUUAGAAGCUAAUGAAUGUUUUCUAAUGGUGCUUGCAUCACAUGUUGAAUUCAUCUGAUUUUACUAUAGAAUCAGGUUGUUGUCUGAGAGAUGUUCUGUUUUGGGAAUCAUUGUAUUGCUGUUUGUGGAAACUUGAUUCUCCAGUUUCAGAAUAAAUGCAAGAAACUUUGCUUUGUUAUUAAUUAGUAAGAAAACAAACUAGCGAACAAACUGACUAUUGGGAGAAACAUCUGGGAAAAUUAUAUACCUUGUAUGAGUUCUGAUAUAACUACUGUGCCUUCAUCACCUAAAUGUCAGCUACCUAAAUGCUACUAUUAAGAAUUUGUUGAGGAAUGUGCUGUUUCAGCAAGUGCUGAUGUGUGUUGAUAGAUAGAUACCUAUAAGACUGUAGAAACCUUGUCAGCUUCUCACCUCACUCCAUCUCAUAGCUGACUCAUAUUUCUGUUCCUCAUAGAAUGUCCUGUGCUCUUUUUUUCCAACUAAUUGCAUGUAUUUAACUGAAAAUCAGAUCGUGCAAAUAUAAAAACACAGAUUGUAGUAGACAGCAGCUCUUGGGGUGCGCUGAUUAGCGCUUAAGCAGUAAUAGUACUAAUAACAUUUCCUGGAUGUUGCUGACAUGUUACGUUUCCUCAUAGCAAGACGUUUCAGACAAGGGAAUUAGCAGCAAUAUUGGAAGAAAGGGUUGCCUGGUAAUUAAUGUAAAUAGUGUGGUUAAUGACUCUGCUAAACCAAAGUGGCAUGUGAUUGUAAUGGAAAUGCUACACCGGUUGGAAAACAAGAUAUUAAUUUAGAACAUAAGGACAAGAAGAAAUAAUGUUUGGGGACUGAGUAAAGGGCAUUCGGCUUCUCAAGGCUCAUUUCCUUUUUCUGUAGUACUCCAUUAACCACAAGAUGCUAUCAUGAUUUUUAAUGACCCCAAUGUUUUUGCCUCAACAGCUUUGUCUGGUUGAAAAUUCCAGACACCUGUGAUGGUGGUUCACAUGAUUGAUAGCAAAUUUCUUUCUGCCUGCUUGGAUUUCAUUCUUUAAUUCCACAUAAGAAAUUCAUUGGGAAUCAUAAUUAUACAGGAAAACUUAAUUCCUUUCUGUCCUCUUCAGUAGCAAGUGUCUGAAACUGAGACACAUUUACACUCAUGCUUUACAUGUAAUGGCAUUAUAUAAUUACAUUUUACUGAGUAAUACUUUAAAUCAAUUUUCUAAGGCAACAUCCAUAAUUUUAAGGAAAUUAUUAGUACUGAGGUUCCUAGUUUUAUUGAUGAGAUGCUUUAGUAUGAAGGUAAUUAAAUCUAUGACAAUUUAAACCAUCUUACAAAUAUAAUUUUCCCAAGAGAUUCCAGUAGGACUAAGAUAUGAAUUGUAGUAGUGUCAUAAAGAAGACUUUCCUCUUGUUGUUACGUAUUUAAUACUUCCUGUCUGCUUUCUAAGCUGUAAUGCACAGUAUUUUUGUAUGCUGGAAAACAACUGCCUUAAUUUAUGCAGAUUGUGAAAAAGAUAUCCAUAGAAGUCCUGAUUUUGUACCACUGUAAUUCAAAGAUGAAUUUAUUUGUAUUUACAUGUUUAUGUUGCAAUCUUGUCCAUAAAUGCCAAUCAGGUGUCAUAAAAAUCCUGUCAAGGAAAACAUCUCUAUGCUCUUGCAGAAGACUGUUCAUCCUGUUUAUGAGUUGUCUGGAAAAAAUCCACCAGUUGGGCAUAAUGACUGAAAUGUAUCAAUUUCUAAACAUUUAGUCAUAGCUAGUUACCAGAAAUUUCAAAGCUGGCCUUAAUAAAUGCAUAUAGUACUUCACGCAUCACUUGUUGCAAGCAAGUUUUAGGCUUCCCCUUACAGAAACAGGGCUUUAAUUGACAAUCCCUGGUACAAACCUUGUGCAUAUCCUUGCUUUACUUAGGUAUACAAUAAUUUUAAAAUGUAAUUAAAUAAAUUUUUAGACAAGUGAGACUGUAGAAAUUAAUUACAUUUUGUCAGGAAACUUAGAAUAUUUCACUGUUUAGUGGAUGAUUCUGCUCGUCUUUAUAGAAGUAAUGAUCCUUACAAAACAUCUGCCGAUGAAAGUUUAUCCUGUGCUCAAGAAGAAAAGGGAGAAAGAAGAAAGGUGUGGAAGGAAAACUCACCUUUGUCAACCUGAAAAUGCAUAGCAGAAGGUGAUUUUUGUUCCUCCAGAAGUCUAGAAACUAUGUUUUUUGUUUUACUGAGGGGUAGAAACAUGUUUAGAAACAGAAAGGAAUGGCUGAAAAAUUGAGUUGUUCUUCUCUGCACAUAGCUACAGAAAAUCACAAAUUUAUUUUGAGACUUGUGAAAAUAUAUAAAAUUCCUUUGUUUCUACUGCAUGUUGACAUGCGCAUAACAACAGAGUCCCCUGGACAAAAAUCCAGCAUAUGUACAACUGUAAGGUUAAGGCUUACUCAUUAUAACAACUCUUAUGGUUUUGGGGCUCAUACACAUCCUACCAUGAUCUGAAUAGGAUGCUGUAAUCAGAAGAUGUAGAGAUAAAAAAGGGCAGUAUAUAAACAACAAACAAACAAAAAAUUUUCCUUUUUCCAAACAAGCUGUAUUUUGUGAAAUAAACUGAAUCUGUACUACAGAAAAGCAUGCGACAGAUUCACGUAACAGAUUGCUUUAGGACUAGAUGAAGAUCAGAAAAUGAUGAACCCUACUUAUUAUUAUGCCCUGUAUACAUUAUACGAACCAUUUGGAUGUUGACCUGAGGGGUUAUGUCUCAUAAAAAGCAAAGGAUUAUCAGGCAUACUGAAAAACACUGAUAAUGGAAAUUGCUUUUUUUAUUAAUCCAUGCUUAAAUUUUCUGUUUGUAAUUCUUGUGACCUAAAUAAUUGUUCUGAGGGAGCCCUGAGUGCUUUAUAAACUGUGUGCAC